rnacentral:rRNA from 1 species
GACGAACGCUGGCGGCGUGCUUAACACAUGCAAGUCGAACGAAGAGCGAUGGAAGCUUGCUUCUAUCAAUCUUAGUGGCGAACGGGUGAGUAACGCGUAAUCAACCUGCCCUUCAGAGGGGGACAACAGUUGGAAACGACUGCUAAUACCGCAUACGAUUUAACCCCGGCAUCCAGGAAAGAGGAACGGUGGCCUCUAUGUUUAAGCUUUCACGUAAGGAGGGGAUUGCGGCUGAUUAGCUAGUUGGAGGGGUAACGGCCCACCAAGGCGAUGAUCAGUAGCCGGUCUGAGAGGAUGAACGGCCACAUUGGGACUGAGAAACGGCCCAGACUCCUACGGGAGGCAGCAGUGGGGAAUCUUCCGCAAUGGACGAAAGUCUGACCGAGCAACGCCGCGUGAGUGAUGACGGCCUUCGGGUUGUAAAGCUCUGUUAAUCGGGACGAAAGGCCUUCUUGCGAAUAGGGAGAAGGAUUGACGGUACCGGAAUAGAAAGCCACGGCUAACUACGUG